UGUUAGGGUUACAGAGCUCCUCCAGGGAGGGGGUGCGCUCACUCCCAUGUUGCAAAUGAGGAAGGAGAGUGGAUCAAUGUCCUGGGGCUGCCACGUGGGUACUGGGGCUCAUCACCAGAAGCCUAUAGAUUAUGCUCAGCAGGAGUGUUCUUCUCAUCUGAGUCAAAGAACCGGAAGCCCAGAAAGACCAGUCUCCCAGUUUAAAGCCGGUGCUGAGCCCCGAUCCCUGCUGUGCUAUUUCCCGAGCGGCAAGGGGGGCUGGGGGGCCGCUGGCUCUGGUAUUUCACCUCCCCUCCACCUCCCAGGUCACAGCCGGGAUGGAGGCGGGGGCUUGGAGGACCGAUCAAUCUGUGUGAGCGUCCCAGGGUCGCCCCGACAAUCUGACGGGGUCGGGCUGACCUCCCGGAAGUUGAUUUGUACCCCUGCCCCCAAACCUCAGCUUCCUCUUUUGUGCAGUGGGGAUGUGAUAAAUCAGCGCCCACACACAGCCGUCCUGAGUUUGCUGUGAAGAUGUGAUGCAACAGGCUGUGAAACAAUGCGAGUCAACUCACGUCGAGAACUUUCCCGUGGGCUAAGCAUUUGACGUGAAUUUGCUGCUGGAUCCCUACAGCCCCCUGAGAGAGGUGGUAAUAUAACCCUGGCUUUAGGAAGGAGAAAGCCGGGGCGCAGGGGGGGCAGGUCCCUCCCUGAGGUCUCUUGUCCCUCAGCAGAGCGGUGGACAUGUGGUGGUUUCCCUGGUCAGUCCCGCCUCUCAGGGUGCCCGGCACGGGGUGAGGCCCAGGAGGACGGCAGUCGCCCCUGGUUUUAUAGCCACAUACGUCCCUACACAGAACUAGGAGAUUUGGGACACGCCCCUGCCAGUCCCAUGGGGGGAGGGGGGUAGCCUCUCAGUGUAAACCUGGCAAAAAGCAGGCUCUUUUUUAUUUGUUUAUUCUCUUGUCAGAGGAUCUACACCAUUAUGCUCGGUGGGUGGAAAUUAUUUAUUAAAGAAAUGGCUUAUUUAAGGGGCUUAAGCACCAGGGCGCUUUUCUGACGGAGAGCCUUUGCGAACAUCCAUCCUUAAUGACAUAGACUGAUAUUAAAAAGUAAUUAAGAGGGUAAAACCAAUAGUAUUAUGAGAAAAAUUCCCGGAGUGGCUAUUUCUUGGUAGAGCACGGGACAUAAUGAAACGAGUCAGCUACCGAAGCCAUCAAUUUGUUCCUGGAGGUCUAAAAAAAUUUUUUUAAUGUUUAUUUAUUAUCGAGAGACAGAGAGACAUGGAGCGUGAGCAGGGGAGGGGUAGAGAGAGGGGGAGACAAAGAAUCAGAAGCAGGCCCCAGGCUCCGAGCUGUCAGCCCAGAGCCCGACGUGGGGCUCGAACUCACAAACCGUGAGAUCAUGACUUGGGCCCAAGUCGGUCUGAGCCGCCCAGGUGCCCCACAAAGCUUACGGUUUAAAAGGAGAGGACCGCUAUCCCCAUGGGCACAUGUUUCCAAUGGAGGGACGUGCUGUGAAAGUGCAGGGUACGUGACUGUUCAGCAGGGGACCUUCUUCGAGAUGGUUCUCAGGGUUGGUAAGCUGUGAACUGAGCCCCAAACUCACGCGGAGCCGGAAGUGGGGCGGGGUGGGAGGAGCUGGGAUGUGGGGAGAGUGAGGCCAGGCAGCUGAAGCCUAGGGGACAACGGGACAGUGGCAGGAGUCGGGGUACGACAGAGAGCCAAGGGCCAUGUCUUCAGGGAUCUAUGGACCCUGUUAAGGAUUUCAGACUUGACCGUCCUCAGAAAACUGGGAAAUGACCAGAAGGUUGUAAGCGGGAGAGGGGCUUUAUUCCCAGAAUCUCACCACUGAGGACAGAAAGGAGCCGCUAGUAUGGCUGUGUGCCGUUUCUGUCACUCGUUCUCCAGCCCGUCCGGUAGGACCUCCGCGCCCCCUGUACAGGUGAUGUCACUUACAGGGGCCUGGGUGCAGCUAGCUGGGCCAGGACAAUCCUCCGCGACGAACACGAACGCUGAGUUAUCCAUUCAACAAAACUUACUGAGUCCGUCCUGCGGGUGGUGACAAAGGACAGUUCCAACUGGGUGAGAUGCAAGACCUCUUUUUGAAGCGAGAGUUGUUUUGCGGGCUGUUGGGUAUUUUCUCCCCAUUUGUCAUUCAGAUAACUGGCCGCCUCUUCUCUCCCAUUUGGGAUGUGGGGGCGGGGGCGAGUACCAAAUAGACUUUCCGGGGAAACCAGUGGUGAUUUCUGUCCCCGCAGACCCAUGGCUGUUUCUGCCUGACAAAAAGAAGUAUCUGGGUGUCAGCAUACAAAAUAUAAGGGAAAACAGAGCUAGGCCAAUUUCCCCUCAGGAGACACCCGCCCUCCAUGGGCAUAAUACAUUCUGGAAGGCCGGGUUAGCUCCUCCAGAGUGAUGAGGAGAAUUUUGUUAUUGUGGAGUGUCAAAAAACAUCAUGGAGUCUUUAUAGCUCGGUGCUUUAUUCUUGUGCCCUAUUUUGUUUUAUUCAGAUUAAUAAGAUCAUUUAAGGUUUGUGAGUCUGAAGUCAAGGCUUUGUUUCCCGCUGGGGAUUUUCUAUCUUGGAUCCAUGUUUCUCGGUGAGGGCGUUCAAGCGGGGCACAGUCCCUCCUCAUUGUCCUAAGCACGAGCUGCUGAGGGAGGUGUGGGAUAGACGUUUCACAGACGAUGACAGUUACCACUGUAUUUGGGUGGGUCCCAUGCAGGGUGUCACAGUCCAGGCAGUGGUGAUAUAAAAAUAGCAAAUAGGAGCACAUAAUAAUUCUUGGAGUAUAAUGUCCAAAAAGUAGGGCAAAAAGGAGGAAAAUCAUUCCUCCUUUUGAAGGUGUGCUUAGAGCAUAUUUCUCAUGUCAGGUUGGAAGGAUUCUGAUAGAACACAUGAAUCAAUUGGACUCUGAAUGACGCCACUUCCUAAAAAUACAAUUUAAGUGAUGUGCCCUUGAACCCAGCAUUCAAGUCUUUGACUUUGGCCUUGAAUCAGCCAAUUAGUGGCAGCAGACCCUUCUUGAUUAUUCAAAGUAUAACCAGCAAAUGCUUUGGCACAAUCCCUCAUGCUAAAAAACCCUGGCACCUUUCUAGAAGUCACAUUUCCUUCCCUCGGAAUGCAUCUGAAACCCCGGCACGCAAAAGCUCUCCCAUCUAGGUGGCUCUUUUGGAUAAAUCCUUUACGACGCCGUUAUAGUCGUACUUGGCCUCAAAUACCUUUAUUACUUUUCAGUUUUGAAAGCCAAACACACAGCCAGCACUGUCCAGAAUGCAGGCCUUGUCCCAGCUGCCCCGGGGCCUUCCACACCCCCCGUCAGGAGCACACAGAGCCUGAUUUGGGGUUGGCCUGCACGUGCAGGAAGCCCCAGGGCCAAGGGGUGGCUCUACACUAGCGUUUCUGGCGGCAGAGUUUCGGGUUGUCCUGAGGCCUGGCCACCGGUCUGGGGACGACCUGGUGGCAUUGAGGAUGGGCGCUGUCGUCUGCCCAGGGAGGACCCAAACACAUCCAGGGGAUCCCUGAAUUUCUCUCCCAUCCCCACCAGGAAGCAGAUGGCCUUGGGGUCCUUUCUCCUCCCCGGAAGCCAUCGAACGUCCUUCUAAUCUUUCUUCCUCUAUACCUCUCUUGCUUCUGGUUUCAGCUUUUCUAUGCUGUUUUCUGAGGCGUAAAAUAUUCCGGGUCGAACGGUGACACGUUAAUGCCACGCUGCUCAUCCCAGAAACCUCAUAACCUGGCAGCCGGUGCAGAUUACAUACGUGUUGCGUGAACGGGUGAACCGAUGAAUGAAUCCAUAGUUUGGCACGCAGGCGCACACCAUCCGUCCCCGAGCCCUCCCGACAACGGCAUCACGAGCGGAGAACUGGAACACAGCUCAGCGUCAGAAAAAUGUUCUUACUGAUUUGGGGUCAAAAUCGAGAAGCAAUACUUCGAAGGAUAAAGAACAGUCAAGGGCCAACCAGUGAUCUUAACGAGACCUUUCAGUGCUCUCGAAAGGGACUCAUCUGGUCACUGUGUGUCAGGAGGGAUAGGUGAGGAAAUAGAGAGCUUCCACCCAGAGAGACGCACCGUCUCCCCAGUGGGGGGCGGGGGCGGCGUCGGCCGAGCGCUGUCAGAAGCCCUCGCCUCGCUUCUGGCUGAUUUUCACUGCCUCCCGGGCAUCCCCUAAAGGACAUCUGCGUUUCUGUUUCGACCUCGCAGCCGAGGUACGUGAACGGAAUUUGUCCUCUCCUUCCUGGCUUUGUAUUAUGGUGGAUGAUGUGAUAUUUGGAACUGUAGCAGCCAUCUUGUGACCAAGAGGAUAAAAAAAAAAAAAAAUCAAGAGAAUGCAGAGAAGUUGACCUAGAGCCCUGAUAUCAUCAAGCCACUGGAUCAACAUGGAACUUUCUACCUCUAUACUUAUACGUAAUAAUAAAUCCUUAUUGCUCAAGCUA